UGGGGAAUAUUGCACAAUGGGGGAAACCCUGAUGCAGCGACGCCGCGUGAACGAAGAAGGUAUUCGUAUCGUACAUUUCUGUCCUAUGGGAAGAUAAUGACAGUACCAUAGAAGAAAGCUCCGGCUAAAUACGUGCCAGCAGCCGCGGUAAUACGUAUGGAGCGAGCGUUGUCCGGAAUUAUUGGGCGUAAAGGGUACGCAGGCGGUUUAAUAAGUCGAAUGUUAAAGAUCGGGGCUCAACCCCGCAAAGCAUUGGAAACUGAUAAACUUGAGUAGUGGAGAGGAAAGUGGAAUUCCUAGUGUAGUGGUGAAAUAAGUAGAUAUUAGGAGGAAUACCAGUAGCGAAGGAGACUUUCUGGACACAAACUGACGCUGAGGUACGAAAGAGUGGGGAGCAAACAGG
rnacentral:rRNA from 1 species